UUUGAUCCUGGGUUCAGGACGAAAGGCUGGCGGCAUGCCUAAUCCAGCCAAGUCGAACGAUGAAGCUUCCUGCUUGCAGGAAGCGGAUUAGUGGCGAACGGGUGAGUAACACGUGGGGAAUCUGCCCAUGAGCGAGGAAUAACAUUCGGAAACGGAUGCUAAUACCUCAUAAGUUCUCUGACCUCCUGGUCAUUGAAUAAAAGACGGCCUUUGUGCUGUCACUCAUGGAUGAUCCCGCGGCGUAUUAGUUAGUUGGUGAGGUAAUGGCUCACCAAGACCAUGAUACGUAGCCGACCUGAGAGGGUGAUCGGCCACACUGGGACUGAGAACGGCCCAGACUCCUACGGGAGGCAGCAGUAGGGAAUCUUCCACAAUGGGCGCAAGCCUGAUGGAGCAAUGCCGCGUGAAUGAAGAAGGUCUUCGGAUCGUAAAGUUCUGUUAUUAGAGAAGAAUAAGUUGAGGGGUAACUAUCUCGACUUUGACGGUACCUAACCAGAAAGUCACGGCUAACUACGUGCCAGCAGCCGCGGUAAUAUGUAGGUGACAAGCGUUGUCCGGAAUUAUUGGGCGUAAAGGGAGCGCAGGCGGUUGAAAUAGUCUGAUGUGAAAGCCCACGGCUUAACCGUGGAAUGUCAUUGGAAACUGUUCAACUUGAAUGCAGAAGAGGUAAGUGGAAUUCCAUGUGUAGCGGUGAAAUGCGUAGAUAUGUGGAGGAACACCAGUGGCGAAAGCGACUUACUGGUCUGUAAUUGACGCUGAGGCUCGAAAGCGUGGGUAGCGAACAGGAUUAGAUACCCUGGUAGUCCACGCUGUAAACGAUGAGUGCUAGGUGUUGGAGGGUUUCCGCCCUUCGGUGCCGGAGCUAACGUAUAAGCACUCCG
rnacentral:rRNA from 1 species